GUCGAACGAGUUCUCGAUUAUUGAAAGGUGCUUGCAUCUUGAUUUAAUUUUGAACGAGUGGCGGACGGGUGAGUAACACGUGGGUAACCUGCCCUUAAGUGGGGGAUAACAUUUGGAAACAGAUGCUAAUACCGCAUAAAUCCAAGAACCGCAUGGUUCUUGGCUGAAAGAUGGCGUAAGCUAUCGCUUUUGGAUGGACCCGCGGCGUAUUAGCUAGUUGGUGAGGUAACGGCUCACCAAGGCAAUGAUACGUAGCCGAACUGAGAGGUUGAUCGGCCACAUUGGGACUGAGACACGGCCCAAACUCCUACGGGAGGCAGCAGUAGGGAAUCUUCCACAAUGGACGCAAGUCUGAUGGAGCAACGCCGCGUGAGUGAAGAAGGCUUUCGGGUCGUAAAACUCUGUUGUUGGAGAAGAAUGGUCGGCAGAGUAACUGUUGUCGGCGUGACGGUAUCCAACCAGAAAGCCACGGCUAACUACGUGCCAGCAGCCGCGGUAAUACGUAGGUGGCAAGCGUUAUCCGGAUUUAUUGGGCGUAAAGCGAGCGCAGGCGGUUUUUUAAGUCUGAUGUGAAAGCCCUCGGCUUAACCGAGGAAGUGCAUCGGAAACUGGGAAAACUUGAGUGCAGAAGAGGACAGUGGAACUCCAUGUGUAGCGGUGAAAUGCGUAGAUAUAUGGAAGAACACCAGUGGCGAAGGCGGCUGUCUGGUCUGUAACUGACGCUGAGGCUCGAAAGCAUGGGUAGCGAACAGGAUUAGAUACCCUGGUAGUCCAUGCCGUAAACGAUGAAUGCUAGGUGUUGGAGGGUUUCCGCCCUUCAGUGCCGCAGCUAACGCAUUAAGCAUUCCGCCUGGGGAGUACGACCGCAAGGUUGAAACUCAAAGGAAUUGACGGGGGCCCGCACAAGCGGUGGAGCAUGUGGUUUAAUUCGAAGCAACGCGAAGAACCUUACCAGGUCUUGACAUCUUUUGAUCACCUGAGAGAUCAGGUUUCCCCUUCGGGGGCAAAAUGACAGGUGGUGCAUGGUUGUCGUCAGCUCGUGUCGUGAGAUGUUGGGUUAAGUCCCGCAACGAGCGCAACCCUUAUGACUAGUUGCCAGCAUUUAGUUGGGCACUCUAGUAAGACUGCCGGUGACAAACCGGAGGAAGGUGGGGAUGACGUCAAAUCAUCAUGCCCCUUAUGACCUGGGCUACACACGUGCUACAAUGGAUGGUACAACGAGUUGCGAGACCGCGAGGUCAAGCUAAUCUCUUAAAGCCAUUCUCAGUUCGGACUGUAGGCUGCAACUCGCCUACACGAAGUCGGAAUCGCUAGUAAUCGCGGAUCAGCACGCCGCGGUGAAUACGUUCCCGGGCCUUGUACACACCGCCCGUCACACCAUGAGAGUUUGUAACACCCGAAGCCGGUGGCGUAACCC
rnacentral:rRNA from 1 species